UGAGGAAUCUUGCGCAAUGGGGGAAACCCUGACGCAGCAACGCCGCGUGAGUGAGGAAGGUUUUCGAAUCGUAAAGCUCUGUCAGGUGGAAAGAAAUGUAUGAAAGUUAAUAGCUUCCAUGCUUGACGGUACCACCAGAGGAAGCACCGGCUAACUCCGUGCCAGCAGCCGCGGUAAUACGGGGGGUGCAAGCGUUGUUCGGAAUCAUUGGGCGUAAAGAGCGUGUAGGCGGCUUGAUAAGUCAGAUGUGAAAGCCCUGGGCUUAACCCAGGAAGUGCAUUUGAUACUGUCUUGCUUGAGUAAGGGAGAGGAAAGCGGAAUUCCUGGUGUAGAGGUGAAAUUCGUAGAUAUCAGGAGGAACACCGGUGGCGAAGGCGGCUUUCUGGCCCUAUACUGACGCUGAGACGCGAGAGCGUGGGUAGCAAACAG
rnacentral:rRNA from 1 species